GAAAUGCGAUAAGUAAUGUGAAUUGCAGAAUUCCGUGAAUCAUCGAAUCUUUGAACGCACAUUGCGCCCUCUGGUAUUCCGGGGGGCAUGCCUGUCCGAGCGUCAUUGCGAACCCCUCAAGCACGGCUUGUGUGAUGGGCCCUCCCGCGUCUUGGUCGUCAAGACGGGCCCGAAAUGCAGUGGCGGCUUCGCGGUUAUCCGAUCAGCCAGAGCGUAUGGGGACUUUCUCUCUGCCACACGCCCGCGGCGCGGACCGACGCCUGUCGACCUUUAUUCAUCUUUUUCUCGGUUGACCUCGGAUCAGGUAGGGAUACCCGCUGAACUUAAGC
rnacentral:misc_RNA from 1 species